UACGGGGGGAGCAAGCGUUGUUCGGAUUUACUGGGCGUAAAGGGCGCGUAGGCGGCUUAACAAGUCACUUGUGAAAUCUCCGGGCUUAACUCGGAACGGCCAAGUGAAACUGUCAAGCUAGAGUGCAGAAGGGGCAAUCGGAAUUCUUGGUGUAGCGGUGAAAUGCGUAGAUAUCAAGAGGAACACCUGAGGUGAAGACGGGUUGCUGGGCUGACACUGACGCUGAGGCGCGAAAGCCAGGGGAGCAAACGGG
rnacentral:rRNA from 1 species